GGACGAAGUAGAAGUUGGCAAUCUGCACCGGCGGCCAAAUACAGUAGUUGGUGAGCAGAGCGUCCACGUAGUCCUGCUGGAUCUUGGCCCAGUUCUGCUCCACCGACAGCCCGUUCACCGCCCCGGUGAUGGCGAGGAAGCAGCCGAGAAAACACGGUGCAAAGGCACCCUGAUCCAGCACCAUCUUCUUCACGGCCACUGCUUUUGUGGCCCCUGGGAUGAGCCGGUCCAGGAUCCUGUACCACCCGCCCACAACGGGGCCCACAAAGCAGAAGCCUAUAGCCAUCAUUUUCAGGGUGCGUUGGCUGUGGUGCCCGCGCAGCCCGCGCUGCUCCACCAGCUGCUGUGCGAUCACAUCACCGGCUCCCAUCAGUGCCCCGGCGGUCAGCGCCUGCACGGCCCAG
rnacentral:lncRNA from 1 species